UACGGGGGGGGCAAGCGUUGUUCGGAAUUACUGGGCGUAAAGGGCUCGUAGGCGGCCAACUAAGUCAGACGUGAAAUCCCUCGGCUUAACCGGGGAACUGCAUCUGAUACUGGAUGGCUUGAGAUUGGGAGAGGGAUGCGGAAUUCCAGGUGUAGCGGUGAAAUGCGUAGAUAUCUGGAGGAACACCGAUGGCGAAGGCAGCCCCCUGGGCUAGCACUGACGCUCAGGCACGAAAGCGUGGGGAGCAAACAGG
rnacentral:rRNA from 1 species